UCCUAGCCGUAAACGAUGAUCACUAGGUGUUGGGAGCAUCGACCCUCCCGGUGCCGCAGCUAACGCAAUAAGUGAUCCGCCUGGGGAGUACGGCCGCAAGGCUGAAACUCAAAGGAAUUGACGGGGGCCCGCACAAGCGGUGGAGCAUGUUGCUCAAUCCGACGCAACGCGAAGAACCUUACCAGGCCUUGACAUCGAGAGACCAUCCGUGAAAGCGGAUUUUCUUACGGACUCAAAGACAGGUGGUGCAUGGCUGUCGUCAGCUCGUGUCGUGAGAUGUUGGGUUAAGUCCCGCAACGAGCGCAACCCUCACCGACUGUUGCCAGCGGGUAAAGCCGGGAACUCUGUCGGAACUGCCAGAGCAAUCUGGAG
rnacentral:rRNA from 1 species